GGCCGGGGUGUUUUAGGAGAUCGGCUGAGGCAGCUGUGAGCUGGGUGCUGGCUGAGAACCAGCUGUGGUCCCAGUUCUGUCUCUGACAUCCCCCAGCUGUGCAGCCUGAGGCAGGCAACAGCCUUUGCAGCCCCUUCUUCUGCAACAUACGGGUGACACGGCCAACCUCAGAGGCAUAAACGGCGCCGAAGGGGGUCACGGGCCUCCGGCUGGGGUCCCUGGGGUUAUUCACAGCUUGACUGAAGAAGCAGCAGAGCCAGGAACCUGAGCUGGACUUAGCGCCCGUAGGGGUCAGAGGGCGGCCCAAUGCCUUCAGGACCGGACCGGAUGCGGCAAGAGCCGAGUUCCUGCUGCUGCUUAUGAGGAUUUGGACCUGGGGCGGACAAAUGGAAAGGUUUUCCGGCUGACUCUCAGCAGGGUGAGGCCAGGCUCUGAAGCCAGACUGCCAGGGUCCCAGCCCAGCGCGGCCACAGACUGGCAGAGGGACGAGCAGGUGACUACACUCGCGGGCCUCCCUUUCCUCAGCUGUGAAAUGGGUGGGAGGCGGGACUCCAAGAACGCGCCUCCAAAGGCAGGACCAACACCCCACCCAGCCUGUCCCCCUAUGGAAUGUUCUGGAACUUCUGUGCGGAACAGAUCUAUGUGGGCCAAGCUGUUCCUUGAAGGGCCAGCCACACUCUCAUCUUAGGGCUUUUGCACCAGAACCGUGGACUACUCUUCCCUCAGAUAUUCACAAGUGGGUGCCCACAGGUCACCGCCUCAGGGGUCUCUUCUGACCACCGUCUCUUCCUCGGGCAUUUCUGACUGCCCUGCUCCUGCUCCACUGUUCUUUUGGACAUGGCUUUGCACUUGGUAACACACAAGAUACUUGGUUUGUCCACGUGGUUUAUUAGUCCCACCGUGUUUUCUAGAACCUAAGAUCCACGAAGGCAGGAAAGGUGGGGUGUUAUUCACUGAGGGGUCCCAGGUGUCUGGGCUGUGUCCUGGCCCCUAGGAGGCCCCCAGGUAAAUACCCACUGAAUGGGUGAAUCGAUUCUGUACUCAGCAUGAGUGGCGAUAGAGGCAUUUUCAGGUAAAUGAAAAUUCAGGCAGAACUUUCUAAAAUGAACUUUCAAGUGGGUGCUCGAGGCAUGAAAAUGAUCCCUGGUGAAAAGACGGAGAUGCAAAAAGGAAUGAGGAGCAAAAAGAAUGGUAAAUGUGGGGGCAAAAAAAAAAGAAAUUGCCCAUAUAAAAUAUAACAAUGUCUAAUGCGUGUGCGGGAAACAGCUUAGCACUAAAAUGCUGGUCAAAACUAGCAGGAGUGUUGGAAGGGGAGUGAUUUCAGUUAAAGAGCUCUAGCGUUCUCAUAUUUGUCGGAGGAAGAAAUAUGUUAACUUUAGAACUUACUAAAUAUGCAUGUUAACAUCCCUGGCGUGGCUAAAAGAACAGCUGUGCAAUGUGUUACUUGAACAAAUAGGGACGAAGUAGGAAAAUAAAAUGAAAAAAAAAGAGGGUGGAACUCCCCUCAAAAAAAAAAAAGCCCCUUCUAUCACUCAUGGCGGGGUGUAUUAUCCUUCAGCAAGUGUUCACGGAAACUGUGCCCUUGGAAGGAAGAGACAGCCCCGCCGCAAUGAGCUUCAGCUUGAGUGCGUGACUUGGUUUAGCCGAUGAGAUGUGAGUAGAUGUAACACAGAGGUUUAAAAUGUCCUUGGGGGAGUUCCCGUCGUGGCGCAGUGGUUAACGAAUCCGACUAGGAACCAUGAGGUUGCCCCUGCCACCUGCCCCCGGAGAGCCUUUGCUGCUUCAGCCCAGUCCCAAGAAGCAUAUUCUCAGAGCUGACCCAUAAUAGAGAACAAUAGGAAACCAAGCAGAGCUGUGACCAACCUCAGAAUGACAGUGACAAAUACGUGGUUGUCACUGUGGGCCACUGAGAUUCUGGAGUCGUCUGUGGCGGUAUGAUCGCAGUCAUAUUGCAUUCAUACGCAGCUCCAAAGAAGACAGGAAAAGAGAGGGAGAAAAGCAGAAAACGCAGGUGGAAUUAGAAAAUAUAAUAAGAUGGUAGAAAUAAACCUCCAUCGAUCACCAAUCACUAAAACAUAAAUGAACUAAAGCUCUCUGGGUAAAAGACAAAGACUGUCACACAACCUUAAAAUACAAUUCAACCUAUGCUAUUUACAAGGGACGCACACCAAACAUAAGGACCCAGAAAGAUUGAAAAGCAAAGGAUGGAGAGAUAUGUUGUAGACGGAUGCGAAAAAGGAAAAAUGAGAAGGCUGUAUUAAAGUCUGAAGAAAUUGCCUUAAAGACUAAACAUUUUCCCGUCAUGGCUCCGAGGUUAAUGAACCCGACUAGGAUCCUUAAGGACGUGGGCUCGAUCCUUGGCCUCGCUCCGCAGAUCAAGGAUCCACCAUUGCUGUGAGCUGUGGCGUAGGCUGCAGAUGCGGCUCAGAUCUGGCGUUGCUGUGGCUGUGGUGUAGGCCAGCAGCUACAGCUCCGAUUCAACCCCCAACCUGGGGACUUCCAUGUGCCGUGACCCUAAAACCAAUAAAAAAUUAAAAAAAAAAAAUAGAAAGAAA
rnacentral:lncRNA from 1 species